UACGUAGGUGGCAAGCGUUGUCCGGAUUUACUGGGCGUAAAGGGCGCGUAGGCGGCCUGCUAAGUCGGACGUGAAAUCCCCCGGCUCAACCGGGGAACUGCGUCCGAUACUGGUGGGCUCGAAUCCGGGAGAGGGAUGUGGAAUUCCAGGUGUAGCGGUGAAAUGCGUAGAUAUCAGGAGGAACACCGAUGGCGAAGGCAGGUCUCUGGGCCGAUACUGACGCUGAGGAGCGAAAGCGUGGGGAGCGAACAGG
rnacentral:rRNA from 1 species